AUACUUACCUCUCAGUGGAGACACCAUGAUCAUGAAGGUGUUUUUCCCAGGGCAAGUCUUAUCCAUUGCACUUCAGAAGGGCUGACCUCUGUGAUUUCCUAAAAUGUGGGGAUUUGACUGCAUAAUUUGUGGUAGUGGGGGACUGCAUUCAUGCUCUCCCCAC